ensembl:lincRNA Gm45106 predicted gene 45106
GCUAGAUGUAGCCUGCUUUAACCGUGAUGGUAUUCAGUGGGGCCUAGCUGGGCGUUAAAAACGGGCAGACUGCAGGGGGCUCUGGUCGGCCCUGUGCCACCCGUCGGAAGUCGAACCGGGUGACGCCUCGGGGUUGAAGUGCGUGAAAUGGACUUUAGUUUCCUUUUCUCUGCUUCCUGGCCUCUCAGAAGUGGUCUGCCCCAUCUUCCCCACGUUCCUGUCACUGUGAUGUGCUGCCUCACCACAGGACCUUGGCACAGAGCCAGCCCACCAUGGAUGAAAACCUCUGAAGCCAUGAGCCUAGCAUUAACAGGAGCACAUGGAAGCUUCUAGAAACCCUUAUCUACACUGGAGAAUAAUCAGGACUGAGCAGCCUGGUGCCUUGCUGGACCCGAUUGCCAAAGUCCCUGCAGCUCUCUGAAGGUGGGGGAUUGCAGUGGGCAUCUGCUCUGUGCAGGUAAAUCAAUGAAGGACGAAGCUGUCUGCCUGGGGAGUCUGUGCCCACUGCUCUCCUCCUUGAAGCUGCAGAAAGGGAAUGUCUGACAGCUUGGUGGGGCCCUGGCCUUGGAGGAGACUUGGUCCGGAACAUUACAGGCCUGA